rnacentral:rRNA from 1 species
UACGAAGGGAGCUAGCGUUGUUCGGAAUUACUGGGCGUAAAGCGUGCGCAGGCGGUUUGCUAAGACCGAUGUGAAAUCCCCGGGCUUAACCUGGGAACUGCAUUUGUGACUGCAUAGCUAGAGUACGGUAGAGGGGGAUGGAAUUCCGCGUGUAGCAGUGAAAUGCGUAGAUAUGCGGAGGAACACCGAUGGCGAAGGCAAUCCCCUGGACCUGUACUGACGCUCAUGCACGAAAGCGUGGGGAGCAAACAGG